UACGUAGGGGGCUAGCGUUGUCCGGAAUCAUUGGGCGUAAAGAGCGUGUAGGCGGCCAUGUAGGUCCGUUGUGAAAACUCGAGGCUCAACCUCGAGACGCCGAUGGAAACCAUGUGGCUAGAGUCCGGAAGAGGAGAGUGGAAUUCCUGGUGUAGCGGUGAAAUGCGUAGAUAUCUGGAGGAACACCGGUGGCGAAGGCGGCGUUCUGGACUGCAACUGACACUGAGAAACGAAAGCCAGGGGAGCAAACGGG
rnacentral:rRNA from 1 species